UACGGAGGGGGCUAGCGUUGUUCGGAAUUACUGGGCGUAAAGGGCUCGUAGGCGGCCAACUAAGUCAGACGUGAAAUCCCUCAGCUUAACUGGGGAACUGCGUCUGAUACUGGAUGGCUUGGAUUCGGGAGAGGAAUGCGGAAUUCCAGGUGUAGCGGUGAAAUGCGUAGAUAUCUGGAGGAACACCGGUGGCGAAGGCGGCAUUCUGGACCGACAUUGACGCUGAGGAGCGAAAGCCAGGGGAGCAAACGGG
rnacentral:rRNA from 1 species